rnacentral:lncRNA from 1 species
UUGCGGCUGAGGGCAGGCUGAGCGUGGGGGUUAAGGGCCCUUCCCUCCAGGGUAAUGGCACGUCCUGCAGGAAGUUGCACAAGGUCCAGUCUGGGUCCAAAGACACGAAGUUCAGAGACUGAAAACCGUGGGCUGCAUGUCGGUCUCUUAGGGGUGAAUUUAGGCCACUGUUCAAAAUGAAAUGUUUGGUCAGAGAGCCCACACUUGUGCAAACACUGAGACAAGGGCAGGGCCCACUGGGAAUUGGCCAAGGCCGGGAGGGGCUGAACUCGCAGCGCUUUGAAGACGUGCCCGCCUGCGGUCUGCAGACCAAACGCUGCUGGGGUCUGGGUCCAAGGCCCGGGGUCUCUGAGGACGCACCUCCUUCCCAGCCCAUCCCUGUGCCCUCCGGGAGUGCCCUCCCUCGAGCGUCAGUGCCCAGGGAAGGAUGGCUCCCCAGGCCUCCCCAGUCGGGUGACACCUUGGGGGGGCUGUCGGCACAGGUGACACAGGCAGCACAGGGGAAAAGGCUCUUCCGUCUUCCUGAAGUAGCUCUGGUGCCAACGGAGCCCAGCGGGCGCAUGUGACCUGGGACCGCAGGUGAGGCCGGGGGCCCCCAGGGAGGGAGGGUGUGUCCUGUGUGUCACCUGUGAGCGCAGGUCCGUUCCUUCCCUCUAACUCACUUCGUGAGGCCUCGCCUGGCCAGGGAUGUCAGGCCGUGCGCGUUGUGCCAGCUGGACGGCCGCACAGAAACCAGACCGAAACUGCCAUGAGCCACCUGCAGGCGCACUCCUUCCCUGCCACACUGUCAGGAGCCCGCAGACGGCCAAGGACGUUUAAACGCCUUAACUCGUCACAUGAUGACACCGGGCUGACAGGCAGAGCUGGUUUGUGGCAGCCCGGGGAGUGUCUCCGUGUCCCAACACUGUCCCCAGGCUUCUGGCCGCCUCCUUCCUUGUCUUCUGAACAGGAUUGAAUUCCUUCUCCUCUGGCCAGGACGGCACGGGAGCUGUUGAGAGCGGGAGCAGGUGGAAGAAAGCCCUGACUUAGCCUCGGGCCCGGCACCUGGGACCCUGGCACAAACCCCACCAGGCGUCCAGCCCCUCCCGGGCGCCGCCCCACCUGGUCCCUGGGGAGAGUUUCCUGAAACGCGCCGCGCAGCUCCCGUCUUGACGGCCUCCCAGCCAAGCUGCCGGGUCACUUGGAGGUGGUCCAGCAUCUUUUCUCCUUUGAGCCAAAGGACACCCUGUUUAAGAAUAAACCUCCUUGUACAGAGGCA